AGCCGCAAUUAGUGCUAAGGUAGCAUAAUCAUUUGUCUUUUAAAUAAAGACUAGAACAAAAGAUUUAACAUUUCAAAAAAUUUCUUUAUUUCAUUUAUCAAACUUAUUUCAAAUGUAAAAAAACAUUUAUUUAAUAGAAAGACGAUAAGACCCUAUCGAACUUAACUUUAGUUAAACUGGGGAAGUUAUUCAAUUAACACUUUUUUUAUAAUAAUCAAAUAAAUAUCUAUUAAAACUAAUAAUUCAGUUACCGUAGGGAUAACAGAGUAAUCAUAUUUAAGAGAUCAUAUCCAAAAAAUACAUUACAACCUCGAUGUUGAAUUAAUAGCCUAAUAUAAGCAAAAUUAUAAAAAGGAAGUCUGUUCGACUUUUAAAAAAUUACAUGAUUUGAGUUCAGACCGGUGUAAGCCAGGUCGGUUUCCAUCUUCUAAUAAUAUAAUAACAGUACGAAAGGACCUUAUAAUAUAAAUUAUUUUAUAAUAUUGGCAGACAAUUGCAUUAGAAUUAGAAUCUAAUAAACUAAAU
rnacentral:rRNA from 1 species